rnacentral:pre_miRNA from 1 species
AUGUAGGGCAAUCUGUCUUUAAGUAGGUAUAAAUUACUCUAAAAAAAUGAAUCGUACAUAGUUUUCCCUUCAACUCAAGUAUCUUGU